rnacentral:rRNA from 1 species
CACGUAGGGCGCAAGCGUUGUCCGGAAUUAUUGGGCGUAAAGAGCUCGUAGGCGGUCUGUUACGUCUGCUGUGAAAAUCCGGGGCUCAACCCCGGACUUGCAGUGGGUACGGGCAGACUAGAGUGUGGUAGGGGAGACUGGAAUUCCUGGUGUAGCGGUGAAAUGCGCAGAUAUCAGGAGGAACACCGAUGGCGAUGGCAGGUCUCUGGGCCACUACUGACGCUGAGAAGCGAAAGCAUGGGGAGCGAACAGG